UAGCAACCCUAAAUUCUAUACCUGCACUCAAUUUGUUUUUGCUUUGUAUAGGUCUUCAAGAAGUGAGGGGAGUCAAAUGUCAACUCGUAAAGCAUGCCUGUUUCUGAGUUGCCAUAAGCAGGGGACCAGAAGUAGAUUCCACGCUUAUCUUACCAAGAUUGUAGCUAGGCUACCAGAUCUUCUGCCCGUGAAAAUCCUUCAUUGGAGAAUGUGAUUGAUGACACCCAGC